UGGAAAUUGGGGACUGGAUUUUGCCAGCAUGAUGAAGGGUUGUCAAAAUGACUGUGCAGCUGGAUGUACGGGGGUGGCUGCCAAGCAUGUGACCGAAUCGUUCAAGGCUGCUGACCUAGUAAUCAACCCGUCUACCACUUUCAAAGAAAAGCCAGACCCCAACGGCUUGGUGUUUGGAACUGUUUUCACAGACAACAUGCUAUUCAUAGAAUGGUCGUUAGCUUCUGGUUGGGAAUCACCUCUUAUUAAGCCCUUGGAGAACCUUUCUCUACAUCCUGCUAUUUCAGCUUUUCACUAUGCCGUAGAACCAAGAGGACUGACAGAGGCGAAACUGCUCCAAAUGCUUUGGCUCAAUGAAUACACACUUUUUGAAGGCAUGAAGGCAUACCGAGGAGUAGAUGGGAAAAUCCGCUUAUUCCGACCAAGACUCAACAUGGAUAGGAUGUUGCGGUCAGCUGUGCGUGCAACUUUGCCAGGGUUUGACAAAGAAGAGCUUUUGGAGUGUAUCCGGAAACUGGUGGACGUUGAAAAGGAGUGGGUGCCGUAUUCCACCUCUGCUAGCUUGUACAUUCGACCUACUUUAAUUGGGACAGAGCCUUCCCUGGGAGUCAAGAAGCCAUCGAAAGCCCUCCUGUACGUGAUACUGAGCCCCGUGGGCCCGUACUUCUCAAGUGGAAGUUUCAACCCCAUAUCCCUGUGGGCGGAUCCGAAAUAUGUCCGAGCCUGGAAAGGAGGAACAGGGGACUGCAAACUGGGAGGGAACUACGGCUCUUCUAUUUACGCCCAGCGUGAAGCUUUGGCAUUAGGGUGCCAGCAGGUUCUCUGGCUCUAUGGGGAUGAUCAUCAGAUUACGGAGGUCGGCACCAUGAAUCUCUUCCUGUAUUGGCGAAAUGAAGAUGGAGAGGAAGAACUAGCAACCCCACCGCUGGAUGGCAUCAUUCUUCCUGGGGUGACGAGGCAGAGCAUUUUGGACCUGGCUUACAUGUGGGGAGAAUUUAAAGUGUCGGAGCGAUACAUUACCAUGAGUGAUCUGAAUGCUGCCUUGAAGGACAACAGAGUGAAGGAAAUGUUUGGUGCUGGAACGGCUUGUGUCGUGUGUCCUGUUUCUACAAUAUUGUAUUUGAGCAAGAAUUUGCACAUUCCGACCAUGGAGAAUGGACCUCAAAUAGCUACCCGUUUCUUGAACCAGCUGAGUGAUAUCCAGUAUGGAAGAGAAGACAGCGAGUGGACAGUCGUGGUGUCGUGAGCGUGAAGGGCAGGGAAGGUUCAGACCAUCUGGAAACACUUCAAGGCAGGACGAAGUAGCACCUGAACCAUGUUCAGUUUUGCCGUAACUCUUGCGUAGAAUAGCCUCUUUGUUAUCACUCUGUUCCUGGGCUGGAGAGUGUGAUUGUCUUCACAUGCCAGGGAGUGUGAACACAAUCGUGUUGAUUUUUCUACUGUGAUUUUGCUCUAGAAUUAGAAACCUGUCUUCUGGUAGAGGUGCUAGAUGUAAGCAAUAGACACUUUCCUAACGGAUUCAUUGGUGCCCCUUGUGUCCUUGGUACAGUUGACAAGUGUGUCAAAAAGUUCUUCAACUGCUCUUCAGUGCAAGCCAAGUAUUCGUUAUUUUGCUUAACCUUUUAGCCACAGACCAGGGUUUUAUGUUCAACACAAUUGCCAAGUGAUUCAGAGAAACCUUUCGCUAUCUCUGAAUCUUCCUUUCUUUUCCAACUUCGGAAGAUAACAUUUUAUUUGUCUUACGAUAUAUAUUUCUCCUGCUGUCUCUGAUAAUUUUUGUGGGGCGUUUCUCCCAGAUCUCCUUUUUUAUGUCCCCCCACUUACGCUUUGGCCACUGAGGCCACAUCUCAUAGCCUUUCUAAAGAUUGGAUUGGAUUCUCCUGUGCUGCUGGGUGACGCUAUGCCAUGGGCGGAUUCAGGUUACCGAUUUUUCCUCUCUCUCAUUGCCACAUUGUGGAAUAUUUCGUGGAAGUAGGUUGUCUGAAGGGAAGGAGGUUUCCAUUGAGCAAUGGUUUUCCCAUUCCUCACAUUUUGAGCAAGAUUGAUUUUGGAGAUGUCUGGUGAUCACACGGGCCGUCACGUUUUUUUUAAAGCCCUUUGGGGGAUCUAGGUCUGUGUAGCUUUUACAACGCUGUGAUGGCUCAGCUUGCUUCUUGGAGCCAUUGGCUGUGGAGUCUCAUCCUUCGUUGCAUCUCCAUCACACAGUCUAGUUGCACUUGUCACCCAUUUUACUGCAAACGUCAAACACGUUGAAGAGCUAACCAGGCAGAUUGGGUACAGCCUUCGUCUACUGGAAGAACCAAUAAAGGCGCUACCUGCUUUCUGAGGCAUGGAAACCAGGCAUGGGCAGACAUCAGGCUUGCCAAAGUCCAUCAAGCAAAGCUGAUCGCAAACCCUGAGCAGAAGAGAGCAAAAUGGCAGCAAAGCCAAUUACCUUCUGCAUCCUUGAGCCUUGUUGCAGGCUAACCUGCGUGCCCAUUGUGCGUUGCUACAAAUCAGGGAUUCCAAUUUAGAGUUAAAAAGCCAUUUUGUUAUUGCCAGUGUUCAAAAAUUGAGUUGGAAACGCUCGUCCGUCUCCUGCAAAAGGAUCCGAUGAUCGACUAGUAGAUCCCAACCUGCCUUCUGCCCUCCAUGAGCUGGAUCAUGUUGCCCUCAUCCCAGACAUAUCAUUGGUUUUUAGAAAUCUGUUAAAUGUAGAUUUCAGGGAACUGGAGGGGAUGUGAUAUUAUUCACUCCCUGAGGUUCUUGUACCAUCUAUUCCCGUUCUUUAAUGCCUUUCUCCUUUUCCACCAAUCUCUCCAGCUUUGCCCCUAUUCAUGGCUCUGCAGCUGAUCGCUUUGAUUGCUCUUACCUUUCAUCCCGUGUGAAUUUUGCCAUCUACUAAAUAAGCUUGUAAGUUGUGGGUUUGCCCCCUUUUGAGAUAGCUUUAAGACACCUCUUGCUCAAGAGGUUACUUACUACCGUAUUCCGCACUCACAAAUUCCGUGGGCCAGAUCUUUAUUGAGUUAACGUUAUCGUAGCCUCAUGGGGCAGCAAGUGGAUGACGCUGGUAAGAUAGCCGAUGAAAUAGUCUAGAGAACUGCUUCUCUGUGGCUUUGCUGUUGCACUAACGCAGAACGUUGGGAACUAUAGACGUCUUUUAUUAGGGAGGGUGAAAUUUGGGGCAACCUUUAACUCUGUCACUUUUCUAACAGAGCCUACCUCUAACCGAUGAGUUGCUGAAUAACGAGGAAUAUGCGCAGCAUCUCUCCCGUCUACCCCCAUUCCUUCUGGUUUUGUAGACACCUAGAAUUCUCAGAGGAAUCACAUGGCACAGCGCUUCUCAGGCUGUACGACUUCAGAAUGCAGGGUAG